rnacentral:lncRNA from 1 species
UUUUUAUAAUUAUUUUAUACAAAGGACACUUAAAAUUUUAAAUGUUUGUCUCCCUCACUUUACAGAUGGAAACUCUAUCACCAAGUGAUCCACCUCAGCGGGAAUACAAAUUACCUGCUCGUUCCAGCCCCUUUGCACUUUGCAUUAGCUAAAGAGCCCCUGGGAAAUACACAGUGUUAGCAGGUGACUCUCUGGGCCACAUGCCGAAAAAGGCAGCUGUUUUACUUAAGUUGGUUGAAAGGGAAAUGUGAAGGACACCUAAAGGUCUGCUGGCUUAUCUGUCUUCUUCUCGAACUCCCUCUGGCUGAAUGGUCUUGUGUACGCAUGGAGAGGGGGGUAGAGAGAGAAAAGAGAGAAGCAGGAGGGGGGGAUGGAGAAACUUGGGUUGUACUGGAGAUUUCUAGUGUUUUUUUUUUUUUUUUUAAGAUUUUGUUUAUUGAUUACAGAGAGAGAGCGAGAGAGCGAGCACAGUGGGAGGAGCAGAGAGAGAAUCUCAAGCAGACUCCAUGCCAAGGGCAGAGCCCAAUCCUGAGACCUUGAGAUCACGACCCGAGCCGAAAUCAAGAGUCGGACGCUUAACUGGCUGCGCCACCGAGGCGCCCCUCUCCUGGGGUUUUCUGUCUCAAGAAGCAGCUGGCGCGGUGGCCCGGCCCGGGACCUCGGGAGCCACGACCGCAAGGUGUGCAGAAGCUGCGCCUCCUGCCUCUACUACUCAAGGACGCCCCGGGGCCUCGACCCUCCUGCACCAUCACCACGUAUGUCACCUGUGGCUCCCAAGGUCUUUUCCAAAGACGCUCCAGCCAGGAGGGGAGGGACAGAUGGCUUGGCCUGCCAUUAAGCGACUUGGACGUGUCUGGUCUGACCGUGAUUGCAAACCUUGAGGCAACCCGGUGGAUGCAAGGUUACUCGUGGCGGGUGUUCCACCUCCGUGGACAGGACUCAAGGACACGACUGGUGUAGGGAAAUGGUCACGGUUCCUCCUGCUGCUGCCACCUUGGAGCAGCUCGGAAUAGAAGUUGUUACUGCCCAUUCCAGUCUUUAAGAUAAUUCUGCUUUUUCUAUUUUUAUUUAUUUUUAAAGAUUUUAUUGAUUUAUUCCUGAGAGACACAGAGACACACACACAGAGAGAGGCGGAGACACGGGCAGAGGGAGACGCAGGCUCCAAGCAGGGAGCCCGACGCGGGACUCGAUCCCGGGACCCCGGGGUCACGCCCUGGGCUGAAGGCAGACGCCCAACUGCUGAGCCACUCGGGUGCCCCUAAUAUAAUUUUCCUAAUCAAUUAGCAGGUGUUUAUACGUGUUUCCU